AACGAACGCUGGCGGCAUGCCUAACACAUGCAAGUCGAACGAGACCUUCGGGUCUAGUGGCGCACGGGUGCGUAACGCGUGGGAACCUGCCCUUAGGUUCGGAAUAACUCCCCGAAAGGGGUGCUAAUACCGGAUAAUGUCUUCGGACCAAAGAUUUAUCGCCUUUGGAUGGGCCCGCGUUGGAUUAGCUAGUUGGUAGGGUAAAAGCCUACCAAGGCGACGAUCCAUAGCUGGUCUGAGAGGAUGAUCAGCCACACUGGGACUGAGACACGGCCCAGACUCCGACGGGAGGCGGCAGUGGGGAAUAUUGGACAAUGGGCGAAAGCCUGAUCCAGCAAUGCCGCGUGAGUGAUGAAGGCCUUAGGGUUGUAAAGCUCUUUUACCCGGGAUGAUAAUGACAGGACCGGGAGAAUAAGCUCCGGCUAACUCCGU
rnacentral:rRNA from 1 species